rnacentral:rRNA from 1 species
CGUCGAGUUUGAAAGACGUCUGAGGGUCAAUUCUUAGUUCCCUAGAGGUUCAGGUUUGUUGUACAGGUGGUUCGUCCACGGUGUUGUCUUGUGGAGUAGUGCAUGGGCAGGUUGCAUACGCGGUGUUGUUCCACUGAGGUGUCGUAGCGGAUCAAGACCACGAAGCUCAUGAUCCAGACACCCACACGUAACUUAUUAAUAAGAUGCAGCCCCUUAUUUCGACCCUGUGGUGUAUUAUUACGCCGUCAACGUAGAAGAUUACGUUGAUUUCGACUUCGAUUUAGCUACGUAUUUGGUUAGUUGUUUUCCGUUUCGUUUAUUUGGAUUCCGUACCGAGGUUUAUGAAGCGUCACCACUUAAGGCCUAAGUGUAUAUACAAAAUUAGGAGGGCACACCCAACUACUUCUUCUUCUUGUUAGACUUGUAGCAAACCGCACGAAAUAGAUAUUUAUUUACGUAUAUGACCUCAGAGAUUAUCAUACAUUCUUUAAAUUCUCCCCCGUCUCCCUGUACCUCUUAUGGCCUUUGACCUCUUAUGCGGCUCACUUUUUAGAGAUUUACCUAGGCACCGCAGCCCGUACUAAAGUCCUUGAGACGGUCCUCCUAAUAAAAACGAAGUAUGGCUAUUAUCAAGAAGACAUUACUUCGAGAGCUUCGUGGUUAGGUGCAGUAUUACCUCCAGUACCGGGACCACUAAGUAACCUAUCUAGAGAACAAAUCGUAAGUCAGAUUAAGAAGCCACCUGGACAAAUGGAACACCGGGCGAAACGUAUAUCUGUAGAUCAACAAGUCUAGUUUUCCGACUACGUUCUUAUCCUCAAAUACGUCAUCUUUAAUCGGGCUCUAGUUUUAUCCCACCGAUUAACACGUUUAAGACCAACAAGAUUUACGUAAUGACCUUAUUUUGAGGUGCAAAGAGGUUUUA